rnacentral:rRNA from 1 species
GAUGAACGCUGGCGGCGUGCCUAAUACAUGCAAGUCGAGCGAACGGACGAGAAGCUUGCUUCUCUGAUGUUAGCGGCGGACGGGUGAGUAACACGUGGAUAACCUACCUAUAAGACUGGGAUAACUUCGGGAAACCGGAGCUAAUACCGGAUGAUAUUUUGAACCGCAUGGUUCAAAAGUGAAAGACGGUCUUGCUGUCACUUAUAGAUGGAUCCGCGCUGCAUUAGCUAGUUGGUAAGGUAACGGCUUACCAAGGCAACGAUGCAUAGCCGACCUGAGAGGGUGAUCGGCCACACUGGAACUGAGACACGGUCCAGACUCCUACGGGAGGCAGCAGUAGGGAAUCUUCCGCGAUGGGCGAGAGCCUGACGGAGCAACGCCGCGUGAGUGAUGAAGGUCUUCGGAUCGUAAAACUCUGUUAGUAGGGAAGAACAUAUGUGUAAGUAACUGUGCACAUCUUGACGGUACCUAAUCAGAAAGCCACGGCUAACUACGUG